ACAUGUCCUUAACCUUGGCACAACAAAUCUCUAAAUCGAUUGAGACCUGUCUCAGAUACUUCUUGGUUUACAAGAUGGAGGCUGAAAUUAAAGAGAAAGAUCCUCACUCAACUCACAGAGGAGCAGAAUGGGAAGAGGACUUAGUGAGAAUUCCCUGAACACAGGAGAAAACCGAAGCCCAGAGAGUGGAUGGCCAAGUCCAAGGUCACACAGCCAAGUGCAUCCGAGCAGCGCAGGAUCCAGGUUUCCUGCCCCAGUGCUCUUUCUGCAGCCCAUGCCACCUGUUUUCAUGCUAUCUCAGUUCACCUUCCAGCUACACACCUGCAAUCAGAAACAGAAAGUCUGAGAGAGUGUGUGGAGCCAAAGAGGGGACAGCAGUGGUGAGGCCAGUUUCAUGUCUUGUGAUUUAUUUUCUCCCUUUCUUUUUGGACUUUAAUCUUAAGUGGACAGCAAUUUGGAACAGUGUCAGCACCUUGUUGGAUUGUGCUGUUUGGGAGAGGUGACACAGAGUAUUUUAAAGGAGCAGGUUAAGAACUUUUCAUAAGGAAUCAAUUGAGAGAAAAUAAAAUAGAAACAGACUGUCCCACAUUUGGGCUGAGCACCAAACACAUUUUUUUUUUUUUUUUUUUGAGACUGAGUCUUGCUCUGUCACUCAGGCUGGAAUGCAGUGGCGCGAUCUCGGCUCACUGCAGCCUUCGCCUCCCGGGUUCAAGUGAUUCUUCUGCCUCAGCCUCCCAAGUAGCUGGGAUUACAGGUGCCCACCACCAUGCCAGGCUAAUUUUUGUAUUUUUAGUAGAGACGAGGUUUCACCAUGUUGGCCAGGCUGGUCUUGAACUCCUGACCAAGUGAUCCACCUGCUUCGGCCUCCCAAAGUGCUGGGAUUACAGGCACGAGCCACUGCACCUGGCCUCAAACAAGCUUUUUAAUUGCAUUCAGAAGUGCACCAACUAGGCACAGACCUCUGGCAUGGAGACAGAAUGGGCGGUUCUUGGUGUCUGGCCUGGUCUUGCAGAAAUCAGGGAGUUGCGGGGACCAGGCAGCCACUGUGCAUCAGAUAGGAGUUUCAGCAGCAGGCAACAGAAAGCCUGCCAAUGUAGCUGAAAUAAGAAGGGCUUAUUUUUAUCCCUGAACAGAAGCUUCCAGCACUGGUUCAUCAGAUCAGGGCACUGAGCUGGCAUCCCCAUUUACACAGUUUUCCUUUCCUUCACCUUUGUAAGAUGCCUGGCACAGCUCUGAGCAUCAAAUAUCUGUGCCAUGUGGGAGCACACGAGGGGACAAGUGGGGAAUAGGGUCUCCUCUGUCCUCUGUCCCCAGGCUGGCUUCUCUCAUGGUAGAAGGACCCCCACAGCACCAGGCCUCAUAACUACCCUGCUGGUAAACUGCAGGUGCUGUCACGGCUUCCUGCCUUCGUAUAUGAAAUGUUCCUUGGCAGUUGGACUGCUGUUUGUUUACCGCACGCACAGCUCUGCUGCGUCUUGGUUACACCAGUGAGCUAUUGCUCCAUGACAAGCCACACCGAAAUGUAGCAAGCACUUAUUGUUGCCCACAUGUCUCAAGUCAGUUGAGUGUUUCUGCCAAUCGGGGCCUGGCUUGGCCCACCUUGGCUGAGCUUGCUCUGGUGCUAGGGUCAGCUAGACAGGUCGGCAGGGGAGACCAGCUGCUCUAGAAGAGCCUGGACAGGAUGAAUUGGUUCUCCUUCCACAUGCAUCUUGCAUCCCUCUAGCCAAGGAUUUGAACCCAGGUCUCGUCUGACUCCAAAUGCACCAAGAGGAUGGAGCCCAGAGUGACACAGAGGAAGAGGCCCCUGGAUGGAUGCAUGGGGAAGAUCACGGGAAUUACAAGUGACAUACUGAAGUAUGAUCACAAAUGUUUCAAAUUAAGCCUUCCUGCUAAGUUUCCAGAGGUGUGUGGCUUGGAUGAAGUGUUUCCAGACCCCGAUCUACUGCAUGUCCUGCCUGUUGCUGGUUCUUUGCAGCAGUCCAUUGACCAAUGCUGUCUACAGCUUGAGAGCCUCUGCAGGCCAGGGCUGCUCUGUGCACAUCCUACGUUACUAUUCAAACUGCACAGCAGCAUGAAAAACAGGCCCUUCUUUUCUCUCAUUUACACGUAUGUGAAGAAGACACAACAAGUGAGAAAACGUGACCGAAAGCCAUGUGGACAGGUGGCCGCAGGGCCAAACCCAACUUCCAUGAUGUGAUCUGGCUACAGUUUGGAGCCCACAUAUUUCAAUAGUUAUCCCCAGGCCUGGCACGUCAAAGAGGCUCCAGAAAUGUUUGCUGAAGAGACAACAGAUUUACAUCCCAGACACACUGGGCCAAGAGCAGCUGCCAUUGCAGAUUCGAGUCACGUCCUUUUUUCCCUCCUUCUCCUUCUUGGAGUUACAACAGAAGCUGGGGAGGUGAGAGUGCAGAAAGGACGUGGAUGAAGCAGAGAGGCACGUGCCUGUCUCAUUCGCCUCUGGAUCUGCUGCACCCAGGACCGUGCCAGCACAAAGUGGGAGCCCGAUAAAUAUUUAUUGAAGAAAUGAAAGGUGACAAAAGGCAGGAGGGAGACCCCCAAAAGAGUAUGAACCCAGCAUCACAGUGCACUUGUGGCAGAUGGCAGUGCACACCCGGGAGCUACUCUCCUCCGGCCAGAUGCCCUUCUCCCAGCUGCCCGCCGUGUGGCAGCUCUACCCCGGGAGGAAGUACCGAGCAGCGGAUUCCAGUUUCUGGGAAAUAGCAGACCAUGGCCAGAUUGACUCUAUGGAGCAGCUGGUCCUAACAUAUCAGCCGGAGAGGAAAGACUGACACUGGGAGUGGCUGGCCCUGCCGGCCCUGCCUCUUCUGGCCUGGUGUCUCCUCAUGCCCCCUCAGUGAGGAUCUUCAUGUACCUGCUCUUCUGUUUGCACACCCAGCAUAGCCUCCUUGCGGGCGGAAGGCAGUAGGGCCCCUGCACACUCAGUUUCUCUCGUUUUCCUUAGUUAUCAGUCCUGUCCUGUACCACUCGGGUCUGCACUUAGGGCAGCUGGCCUGGAUGGGCUUCACUGGGGCCCUGUCUGUGCGCUGAGCCAGUUUCCCCUGCUGCCUGCAAGCUGUGGGUUCUUUCUCCUCUGUGCCCCUCAUGCUGAUCUUCUAGAUGCCACUCCCAAAUCCCCUUCAUACCCACCAGGAUGUGUGCCCAGCCAGGCCUCCAGCACCCCCAGUGCAGCUCAUGAUUGGAAACUCACCAUCGGCAGGCAGUGGUUUGGUUUAAGAGAUGGCAUUAGAGGGAGCCCAGUCUGGAUGUGGACUUGGAUGCCCCGUGGGUAUCAGUUCUGCUGACACUUUGGCCCAAAAUAGAUCCAGUGCUGAGCAAGCAAUGUACACCGGAGCCUCAGUGAGCCCAUCUGCACAGUGGGGAGCAUGGAGGGAUGGGUUUGGCCUGUGCUUCUGCUUGUUCAGUCCUUCAGCUCACGGAAGGGAUGCUAGUCCGUGAAGGUGACCUCACAGUACUGGUUAAUUAAACUUUAUUGCUCACUGUC
rnacentral:sRNA from 1 species